AAAAAGAGUUAGAUGGAACUAUAUAAUUUAUAUCACAAAAUUAAUCUUUGGCAGUAAGAAAUUAAAGUUUCGAAUUUGAUAAUUCUUAUCAAAAUGUUAUUAUAACAUUCGUAUAAAAUUUGUGCAUAAAAUUAAAUUCUUUCUAAUUCUCUAUAGUUUGUUAUAAUGUUAUAUCAUAAGUAAUUGAACGAGUAAUCGAAUAUCGUAACAACUAGACAAUCGCUAAUAUUUUUACGGAAUACAAGUUUCUGAAUUACAUAAAAUAUAUUACAUAAAGAAGAUAUCGGAUUGAUAUGUUGUAUUAACUAGAACACUAGAUUUGAUUACGUAACGGUACAGUCUUUUAUGCAAUAAAACGUAGCAAAUGGUAGCCUUUCUUUGUGGAGAAAGGAAUCCAUAUCGUUUAAUUUACUAGGAAUAACCGUAAUCUUCUACCCGGAAGGUAUUGCGUAUUUAGAACUGGAUUUUUUAGCAAGUAAAAAAACAAGAAGCGAUUAAUCGUGGUCUAUAGUAAAUAUCCUUAUCAAAUAUCAAAUUAUUUCCGCGAUUCCUAAAAAAAAAAAAUUAGAAGAAAAAAAUAUACAUGGCAUUCAACAUGGUUUUUUUUUUAAAAAGGAGCAAAUCUAUAUAAUUGCAGUAAAAAAUUUUUUAUAUUUAUUAUAUUUAUAUAAUUUCUUCAAGAUGUUUUGAAUUCCAAAUGAAUCAUCAGCGGAUUUUCACCAACUGUGACGUAAAAGUAAAAUCUCAUUCUAUAAGAGCAACGACUUGUACAGGUUGUGAUUCUUCGACAGAAUGCAUCGGUACCGCGCACGAUGCGUGGACGUGCUGCAUUAUCUGAUUACACGCACACCUGUGAAAGGUUUCAUUACUUUCUAACAUUAAGCCAUUUUUAACGUCUCGUCGCGCCUUCUAAGUUUAUACAGACACACACACGCACGGUAUUCUAUUAUAAUGCGUCUCGAUCGAUCGUAGAUAGAUGACAGAGGAGUUUCAUUGGUGCCGAUCGGGCUAGAAACUUCAAGGAGAAAUACUUUCACUGUCACGCCGUGUUACCACUUGUAGUUCCCUGGAUUUAACAAGGAAAGUGAAUCGCUUGAAAUGAUUGGAAGAUGAUUGAAUAGAAAGCUUUUAUCGCUUGGCAAGAUAACGUAAUACAUCGAGAACUUUAACAUAAUGUACAAGUUGAAAAAUUAAGAUAAAAAUUGUUUAAAACAAUUGAAAAAUUACUGAAAUCUAUAGAAGGGACGAUAAUGGCAGAAAUAAAAGAAAACUUUAUUCGAAAAAAUUAUUCAAAAGCUAUUUAGCGUUCUUUACUUUUUAACGACUCGACUUUUUAAACAUUACGCAAUAUGAAUGUCUAAUUAAUUAUGAAAGGAAGACGCAAUGUCUAAAAAAAUAACAAGUAUGUCGCUCAAACAUGAGUCGCUUGUUACCUUCUAGGAAUAAGAUUUAUUUGAAUAAUGACGUGUCUGUUACCGUUUUCUCAAUGCCAGUUUCGAUACGUCGAAGGCAUAAAACGAUGGGCGUUUACGCCAACGCUAAAAGUGCCGUGGUAUACGACACCAGUUCUUGCGAGUCACCUGAAUCAUAAGAAAGUGAUUCGGGAGCCUUUAUUCUAAAUGAUCGGAUGUUCAAUGGAAUAUUCCAAAUCGAGGAACAUUUUGACUCGAUAUCGAUGAGAUACAGAUACAAGGUUUUUCCUUCUAAUACUUUUAAACACCAUAAUCCAUCUUUCAUGCAAACUUCAUACAGGAAAUUAAGUGCUUAGCAAAAUUAUAAUCAUAUAAUAAAGCUCAUAAUUUCCAAUUCAUCGUAAUGACAUUGAUUUAUUUGAAAGUAAAGCUAAAUAUAAAAUUUAAUUCUUAAUGAUUCAAUUGAUGGGCGAUAACCAAUAUGGAAUCCAGAAUCAUCGUUGCAACGUGAAUUUCAAAUUCCGUAUACAUGUGUACAACUGCAAACAGUACAAUUGUUGCGAAAAUAAAAUUCGAAGGAAAGAGAAGCGUGCUAUUCAUACGCUAACCGAGAAAAGUAACUCGAAAAGAGAAAGGGAUGAUGAAGUCGACUUCAUGGUUUGCUGUGCAAUUUUGUUAAUAACAUUGUAAAAUUGCUGGCUACGGAAAAACUUUAAUCUGACGCCAUUCACAUGGUAAAAGGCAACAAUUUCGACCGGUAAAUUGGUAAAAAUCGUAGACUUUUUAUCGCCAUCACUGAGUUGAAUGUAUUGAUCUGGAAGGAGUUAUAACAUACAAACACGGUGCAAAUUAAUUUGUAAUUUUCAUGGAAAGAGCUCUGGCCUCGUCACUUUUAAAGCGAGCCAUUUAAGGAAGAGGUAUAAAGAAUGAUUUAUAGUGGACAUUCUUAGACUUUCACCGACAUUAAAGAUUCAUCUGUCUGCAAGGGUCGACUUUCAUGCUCGUAGGAGUAACGUUACGUUCACUCACUUUGUUUUUUUCGUCGCGGUUGGCUACGUUUCCGUCUGUUAACGCUUUUCAUGACUCGUGGAUCAUCAGUGACCCAUGAUAUUCCAGAUAGAAAUAGAACUUUCAUUGAACGGACAAAUAUGUUCUUCGUUAUACUCAAGUAAGAUAGAUGAGCGAAAAGAUCAACGUACCAGAUGUAUUAAAAUGUUUACUUAGAGAACCUUACAUGGUGUGUAUAGUUAGAAAAAACUAAUGAUAUGAAACGUGUUAAGAUCUAACUAAUUAAGUAUUUGUCAUCUUGAAAUGAAAUUACUUAACAAUUUUACUUAAUAAUUAUUUAAAUCUAAGCACGUUUUAUUGUGCUCAUAAUGUAGUAUUCUCGCAUAUAUUAGUUUAUAAUAGUAUAUAACAUAAUAGCUUGUCAAUUUCAAUAACGCUAAUUAAGUAGGAACUUGAGAUAGAGAUAAUCAUAGCUCCUGUCGCUUGGUUGUCCGAUCAAUAAAUCUGCGAUCCGACAUUUCAAUAAACACGCGAUAUUCUCGAGAAAUAACACGUUAUCUAUUGUAUGGUUAAUCAAUGAUGCAUGUCGCGUUUAGAAAAUUAGUCACUCGUCACAGGCCACGAUCACGAAUUGCACAUCGAGAGAAUAAUCGAAGGGUAACGAUCUCCCGGUUGGAAAGUCGCGAAGCUAAGGGGAACAACAGAGUGCAAUCAGCCUCUUUCUUACGAAUUUUCAUUCUGGCCCCGCUUUCGUCGCCGAUGACCCAACCCAAGACCUACUUUCUGUAAUCAUCCUGUUUCAAAACGGGUACACUCGAACCAAUGUUCGUGACUGUGUAAAACUUAACUUCAAUGGGAACACGCUCACCUGCACUUAAAUAGACAUAUUUCUCGUUUUUUAUAUUUCGAUGUAUUCAUUUUUUCAUGCAUAAUAAUAUUUAAUACGUGCAUAAGUUUUGUGAAGAAAUUUAUAAAACUUUGUAAAGGCUCUUCUGUUCACGAAAAGUACAAUAUUUAUUGUAUCGCGUGUUUCAAAAAAUUUAUAAAGUAAUGGUAAAAAUGUGUCUCAUAUUUGCCUUAUCUUUUUUUUACAGAUUACAAAUUUUCGUUCGCAUUAUUUUCGUGUCACUCUGUAUACCUAUUGGCAAACCAAUCGUGCGUAGAAUGUGAUUAUGGAACGGAGUAAACAAUCGUCUAGCUGUCUUCUACUGAAAAUUUCAUAAUUUCACCUAAUUUCAUUAUCUUUGUUUCGAUAGGAUUGAAUAAAAUAAAUGUUCUCAAUGCGUAAAUGACGUUCAAGACAUCGUACAUAAACGUACCUACGACGACACCAUGUUCAGCAUUCGCCGCUAGCAACUCAUCAGCAAUUCGAUUAUUCAUCGGAAUCUAGGUCUGGAGCGAAAAAUACGGAGUAACCAGGCCACAGUCUGUGAAUCAGCAAGACGCUAUCUCCAGAUUGUUCUUAGAUCCUUCUCAACGAUCUCUAAUUAUAGAUUAUUGGAACGAUCAACAAACGAGGAGAAUCAAGGACUAUGUUCUGCAUCGUUAACGAUUACCGUCGAUAAAUGGUCCAGACUCACGACUUCACGGAAGAUUUCUGUGUGAUAAAAGUCGCCAACUUGCUUCCUAUUCGAUUUGUAUGGAUACUGUGUUCUUGAAACGUCGUUGUGUUUAUGUAUGUUUUAUGUUUGCCUAGCUAUACGCUACUAAUGUUUUUACCUUUGAAGAAUUACAAUUCGCACCUCAUGGACUCGAUACGCGAAAAACUGACUUUGCUGCGGUAAAUAGAAUGACACUUAAUUAUAAAAAGAUAACAUUAUUCUCUUAAGAGAUUAAAACGUGGAAAGUAGUUUUUGUAGAAGGUAUCUUACGGUGAACGGUAGGUGAAGUCGAAGCUUAUCCGAACACGUAUAUCCCAUAUAAAGAAAAGGCUGGAGGGCAGGUUGCGGGAUCGAUCGAAGAAGAAGAAACGAGUCUUCGCAGUACGAAGACUUUCACGCGAUGAUGGUCUUGUUAUUGUUUCCUAUUCUUCUGUUCGUGUAAGUACGUUAUUCACCUAAAUUGUCACAUAACUGUGGAUCUACAAACCUAUGAAAACGCUUAUCUUCUCGAUCUAUCUUUUUCUUAUUUUUUUAAACGAGGGAAAACAUACAUCUAUCCGCCUUUAUUUGUACUGUUGCAAACAUGUCACGACAUGGUGAAUAAUGCGAGAGGACAAGAUGGUAACGACAAUGGUAGGGUGAAAAGAGCGUGGUUUCAAGGACCUGAUUCCUCUAUCGCGAAUGGAAAGUCGAAGAAGCAGGAAUUGUCAAAUGAAACUGUGAUUUAUGCCCAUUUCUGCAAACUCGUUGGUAUGGUCGCUUCAUUUGCAAUUCUGGGAAUGGUUUUCAAGUCGAACGACUGACGAUCCGAGGCAAAGGAUGGAGAAAAUGUCGAACAAUUAACAAGAUACGUUUACGCGGUUUUCGAUUUUCUCUGCUGAUCAGUUUGCUCUUCAAAAGUAAUACCGAUUCUUAGGCAUACGUUAUGAAUGUGUGUGUGUUUUUUAAAGUAUUUUCUAAGUGAUUUCAGUUUUGGAAAAAUGAUAAAAAUCGUUCUACUUUCGUGUCACGUAUGUACCGGGUCACGUCUGCCGUUUCAAAGAACCGCCACACCGUCAUCCUGACAUACGUUUCUAGGUAAGAAUAAUACUGUUUGUGGUAGCACGAUUGGAUGUUGUUAAUGCAAAGGAAAAAAGGGAAAAGAAUUUAUUCGAGUAAAAUCGAUUGAUUUGACAAAAUUAUCGUGGAUAGUAUUCUUUUUCUACAAUUUUUAUUAAAAUUGUAACGGCAAACAUGUAAUAGUUUUGGUAUACUUUAGAUUCUAAACUACUUUAAAUUGUGACGUUUCGUAAAAAAUGUUUUACCUUCACAGUAUGGCGCAGCUUGCUGUAGUUUUGGAACAACAGAUAUACAGAAAUAUGUUAUGUUUCAUGAGAUUCAUUAUAAAAAAUUCUACCUACAUUGCUUAAUCACCAUUUAAAUAUUUUUAAAAGUUUUAGAACUAUCUUUCAGUAUCUGGCAUAGUUUAAUUAGCUUCGUUAGAAUUGGCGACCAAAUCCAUUUACCAGGCUUUCCUAAACGCCUGACAAAAAACAUUAGACAUUGGUACCACGAUAUUAUUUCAUAUUUCUAUGUGCGCGAGAGAUAUACAUAUUGCAAGGAACUACGUAAACCUUUCAAAUUCCAGAAACGUUCAUGAAGAAAGAAAGAAAAAUAGCCCUCAGAAAAAUAGA